UCUCUGGCAUCUUGAACUUUGGACCCUUGAGUUUUGCAUCUGGACCUUCGAUACUGACAUCAGGGGCAUCAAUGUCCACUUUGGGGCCAGAAAUCUCAAUGUCAGCCUUAGGAAGGGUAACAUCCACAUCUGGGCCCUCUCCUUUGAAUCCUGGCAUGCUGAAUUUGGGCAUUUUCACCUUGGGCAUCUUCAGGUGCCAGUCUGGGCCAUGAACAUCCACAUCUGGGGCAUUGAUAUUUUAGGAGCUUUGAUGUUCAUCUCUGGCAUCUUGAAUUUAGGGCCCUUCAGUUUCGCAUCUGGACCUUCAAUAUUCACAUCUGGAACAUCAACGUCCACCUUGGGUCCUGAGACGUCAAGGUCAGCCUUGGGCAGGUUCACAUCCACUUCUGGGCCCUCUGCUUUGAACCCUGGCACACUGAAUUUGGGCAUUUUCAUCUUGGGCAUCUUCAAGUGCCAGUCUGGGCCAUGAACAUCCACAUCUGGGGCAUCAAU
rnacentral:lncRNA from 1 species